AUUGAACGCUGGCGGCAGGCCUAACACAUGCAAGUCGAGCGGAUGAAGGGAGCUUGCUCCUGGAUUCAGCGGCGGACGGGUGAGUAAUGCCUAGGAAUCUGCCUGGUAGUGGGGGAUAACGUCCGGAAACGGGCGCUAAUACCGCAUACGUCCUGAGGGAGAAAGUGGGGGAUCUUCGGACCUCACGCUAUCAGAUGAGCCUAGGUCGGAUUAGCUAGUUGGUGGGGUAAAGGCCUACCAAGGCGACGAUCCGUAACUGGUCUGAGAGGAUGAACAGUCACACUGGAACUGAGACACGGUCCAGACUCCUACGGGAGGCAGCAGUGGGGAAUAUUGGACAAUGGGCGAAAGCCUGAUCCAGCCAUGCCGCGUGUGUGAAGAAGGUCUUCGGAUUGUAAAGCACUUUAAGUUGGGAGGAAGGGCAGUAAGUCAAUACCUUGCUGUUUUGACGUUACCAACAGAAUAAGCACCGGCUAACUUCGUG
rnacentral:rRNA from 1 species